rnacentral:rRNA from 1 species
GAUGAACGCUGGCGGCGUGCUUAACACAUGCAAGUCGAGCGAAGCACUUUGGAAAGAUUCUUCGGAUGGUUUCCUUUGUGACUGAGCGGCGGACGGGUGAGUAACGCGUGGGUAACCUGCCUCAUACAGGGGGAUAACAGUUAGAAAUGACCGCUAAUACCGCAUAAGACCACGGUACCGCAUGGUACAGUGGUAAAAACUCCGGUGGUAUGAGAUGGACCCGCGUCUGAUUAGGUAGUUGGUGGGGUAACGGCCUACCAAGCCGACGAUCAGUAGCCGACCUGAGAGGGUGACCGGCCACAUUGGGACUGAGACACGGCCCAGACUCCUACGGGAGGCAGCAGUGGGGAAUAUUGCACAAUGGAGGAAACUCUGAUGCAGCGACGCCGCGUGAAGGAUGAAGUAUUUCGGUAUGUAAACUUCUAUCAGCAGGGAAGAAAAUGACGGUACCUGACUAAGAAGCCCCGGC